GUUUUUCUCAAGGCUCAGAAUUAGAAUGGGCAAGAUGGUGAAUGGCUUCACGGGCCACUUAGCCUUACAACUCAAGAAUUUAAAAGUAUUGAGGAAAUUUUUAUUUGAUGUUUUGCUUGCCCUUGAUAGAAAAGGCAUCUGUAUGGACUUGCCAACUGUAGUUUUUGGAAGGACUCACCCUGGACGAUCCUCCGGGCCAUCCCAUACGCUCCCUUCUCUCCGCUCUAGGAUUCUGCUCUACUUGGAGAAAACUGGGCAGUUCUGGCUGGUUUCCUACUUCGGGGUUGAAGGUGCCAAGCCAAGGUUUGGCCUGGAGUCUCUUCGAGACGCGGAGCACCUCUGACCCCUACUGGCCGCUAGCGGUAUCACAUCUCUAGAACGGCCAGGACUCGCGCACACUCUCUCGUGGUCCCUGCAGUACCGCAGAAGCACCAGUCACAGCACCAAAACGGACACAGGCCGAGCCUUAAAUCCCC
rnacentral:lncRNA from 1 species